CUUGCUCCCUGAUGUUAGCGGCGGACGGGUGAGUAACACGUGGGUAACCUGCCUGUAAGACUGGGAUAACUCCGGGAAACCGGGGCUAAUACCGGAUGGUUGUUUGAACCGCAUGGUUCAAACAUAAAAGGUGGCUUCGGCUACCACUUACAGAUGGACCCGCGGCGCAUUAGCUAGUUGGUGAGGUAACGGCUCACCAAGGCAACGAUGCGUAGCCGACCUGAGAGGGUGAUCGGCCACACUGGGACUGAGACACGGCCCAGACUCCUACGGGAGGCAGCAGUAGGGAAUCUUCCGCAAUGGACGAAAGUCUGACGGAGCAACGCCGCGUGAGUGAUGAAGGUUUUCGGAUCGUAAAGCUCUGUUGUUAGGGAAGAACAAGUACCGUUCGAAUAGGGCGGUACCUUGACGGUACCUAACCAGAAAGCCACGGCUAACUACGUGCCAGCAGCCGCGGUAAUACGUAGGUGGCAAGCGUUGUCCGGAAUUAUUGGGCGUAAAGGGCUCGCAGGCGGUUUCUUAAGUCUGAUGUGAAAGCCCCCGGCUCAACCGGGGAGGGUCAUUGGAAACUGGGGAACUUGAGUGCAGAAGAGGGAGUGGAAUUCCACGUGUAGCGGUGAAAUGCGUAGAGAUGUGGAGGAACACCAGUGGCGAAGGCGACUCUCUGGUCUGUAACUGACGCUGAGGAGCGAAAGCGUGGGGAGCGAACAGGAUUAGAUACCCUGGUAGUCCACGCCGUAAACGAUGAGUGCUAAGUGUUAGGGGGUUUCCGCCCCUUAGUGCUGCAGCUAACGCAUUAAGCACUCCGCCUGGGGAGUACGGUCGCAAGACUGAAACUCAAAGGAAUUGACGGGGGCCCGCACAAGCGGUGGAGCAUGUGGUUUAAUUCGAAGCAACGCGAAGAACCUUACCAGGUCUUGACAUCCUCUGACAAUCCUAGAGAUAGGACGUCCCCUUCGGGGGCAGAGUGACAGGUGGUGCAUGGUUGUCGUCAGCUCGUGUCGUGAGAUGUUGGGUUAAGUCCCGCAACGAGCGCAACCCUUGAUCUUAGUUGCCAGCAUUCAGUUGGGCACUCUAAGGUGACUGCCGGUGACAAACCGGAGGAAGGUGGGGAUGACGUCAAAUCAUCAUGCCCCUUAUGACCUGGGCUACACACGUGCUACAAUGGACAGAACAAAGGGCAGCGAAACCGCGAGGUUAAGCCAAUCCCACAAAUCUGUUCUCAGUUCGGAUCGCAGUCUGCAACUCGACUGCGUGAAGCUGGAAUCGCUAGUAAUCGCGGAUCAGCAUGCCGCGGUAAAUACGUUCCCGGGCCUUGUACACACCGCCCGUCACACCACGAGAGUUUGUAACACCCGAAGUCGGUGAGGUAACC
rnacentral:rRNA from 1 species